AGUACGUGAAACCGCUUAGUAGUAAACGGAGGGACUCUCGAAGUCGGCGGUGACGGUUCAGGGUGACGGCGGGGCGGCCUGGGGGCGUGGGAUCCGCAAGGACCCUGUCCCUUUGUCAGCUCUGUCGGCGCCUGCACUUCGUUGCCGCCAUACGCGAUGAACCGUUUCUGGCGGACCGAGGGCGUGGGUGAAGUUUGUUGGCUUCGGCUUUCAAGCCCCGCGUUCCUGGCUCUGUCGGGGACGGGUAGUGGAGCGAUCUCUUAUAGAGAGUGCCCUCGCUGGCACGGUUCGCAUCUCUAUCGCGAGUAGGUCGGCGGUCCCUCCGACCCGUCUUGAAACACGGACC
rnacentral:rRNA from 1 species